GCCCGGAUAGCUCAGAUGGUAGAGCACCUCCUUGGUAAGGAGGUGGUCAGCGGUUCAAUUCCGCUUCCGGGCU
rnacentral:tRNA from 2 species